rnacentral:lncRNA from 1 species
AUACUCACGACAAAAGCUCCUCGACUUUUUCGAAAAAAGUGAUCGACUUUUUUCCAAGUCGCCAGCUAGGGAGUCUUGCGAGGAAAUCAGCCAGCAAGGGAUCAACUUUUCAGAAGAUCGACUUUUUCUUCCAAGGAAAAAAAGUCGAUCCCUCAAGGAGCUAGGCUUUCAGGCAUCGACUUCUAAGGAAUCCUCCAAGUGCACUAGGGAUCGACUUUU